rnacentral:pre_miRNA from 1 species
CACCUUAAAUGAAACUGGUUUUCACAAUGAUUUGCCAGAUAUUUUUAGAAAUUCUGAGAUCAUUGUGAAAACUGAUUUUGUUCC